AGCGGCGGACGGGUGAGUAACGCGUGGGUAACCGUGCCUCAUACAGGGGGAUAACAGUUGGAAACGGACUGCUAAUACCGCAUAAGCGCACAGUACCGCAUGGUACGGUGUGAAAAACUCCGGUGGUAUGAGAUGGACCCGCGUCUGAUUAGAUAGUUGGUGGGGUAACGGCCUACCAAGCCGACGAUCAGUAGCCGACCUGAGAGGGUGACCGGCCACAUUGGGACUGAGACACGGCCCAA
rnacentral:rRNA from 1 species